rnacentral:rRNA from 1 species
GACACUGUGUUUUGGAAUCUCUGCAAGAACAAAAGAUUUACCACUAAAUCUAUGUAUGAAUGGUUGGAGAGGGAUUUAGCUGGUCCUAACUAUAAGUGGAUCUGGAAAGCUAGUAUCCCAUUGAAAAUCAAAAUAUUUCCGUGGCAGCUAUUUCAAAAUGUUGUGCUUACUCGGGAUAAUUUGCGGAAGAGGAAUUGGCCUGGGAAUCCUGUUUGCUCUUUCUGCACUAACAUAGAAACUGCAAACCAUCUAUUCUUUACAUGUCCUCUUGCUCGAACAGCCUGGGGGACCCUGGGGCUCACGGCUGGAGCAUCCUGUUGCCCACGGUCUCUAUGGCAAAGUUGGGCGUGGUUAUAUAAAUUUUCCCAGGUGGAAAAAAGUUCUAUAUGA